AUACAAAAAAAAGCCCGAAUCUGAUCCUGAUUGGGGCUUAGGGGAAUGGGCUCUUUCAGAGCCUGCGCUAAGGUUAGAACGCUUACGAGUUACUAUUUAGACUAGUCUAGACCGAAGAAACUUCCAGUAG
rnacentral:sRNA from 1 species